UGACAGAAUGACAGAGGGCCAUC
rnacentral:piRNA from 1 species